rnacentral:lncRNA from 1 species
UUUUUUUUUCCUUUGGCACCAUGGUGCCGCCAAAGACUUUGGCACCAUUGGUGCCACCAAUUUAUUUGGCACCUUUGGUGCCGCCAAUUUAAUUGGCCUGAUCAGGCUGGUGUCAGUUUUUUUUUAUUUUUUUUGAUAUAUUUUGGUAAAUAAAAAAAAGUUAUAACAUUUUAGUUAUUUUUUAUUUUUUAUUAUAAUAUUUUUUGUAAAAAAACCCAACAUCGAUAGUUUGGGGAUGUAAUUAGAAUGUUUUGAAGCUUAGGGACCAAUUUAGAAUAAAUUUCAUAAUUUGAAGAUGUUUAGUGCAAUUAACUCUAUUUAUUUAUUAUUUCUAAAUUAUUUUUCCAAAAAAACUUAUAAUUUUUUUCUAAAAGCUUCACCCAAUUAGAUUCAAGCCCAAUUUUUUUCUUUAUUGUUCCUUAACAUAUAUAAUUCUUUUGCCCAAAAAGCACAUAACUUCAAAUGACAUGAAACCAUUAUCUUUUAAUUUUUUACACUUCAAGAGAAAAAGAUAGCUUUGGUUUCAAAUUUCAAACCUUUUCCAAUUAAUUUAAAAAACCCUUUCGCAAUUCACAACAAACACCAAACCUUCCAAAUAUUUCAGGGGUAAGAUUAGAAAUGUUCGUGGGUUGAGUUGGGUUAGGUUGCAACCCGAUUUAGAAAUUUUCCAAACUUUGAAUCUAGUUCAGUACAACAUGCUCAAAUAACUCAUUUCACUAUUUAAAAAUUAAGAUAUUUAAAAUCUAUAAUUUUAUAUUAAUAUUAUAUAUUUUUUAUAAUUAAAUUUAAAUAAAAAUUUCUUAUAGAAGACAAAAAUUUUUGCUCCAACUUAUGACGGCUGACAACCCAAUCCAUUAACAAGUCUACUCAAGAUAAAAGAAAAAGUAUAAUAAUUAAAUUUCAAAUUUGCAAAGAGUAUAUGAACUUAUAGCGAAUUUUAACCUAAUUAAAAGUGUUAGUUUUGUUUUCAAUAAGGGUAAUUGCAUUGAUAUUCCCAAACUAUAAUCCGGAUGUAAAUAUAAUCUUCAAGCUUCAAAGUAUUCUAAUUAAGUCUUCAAAGUAUCACUAGUCAUUACUUUAUCAAUUAGAUUAUUCGAUCAACUUGAGUGUUAAAUGUUAGUUUGGAUAAUGACGUGGAGCAUAUUUAAAAUGUAAAAAAUAAUCCUCCUAAAUUUAUUUGAAGUAUACUACCUCUUUUAUUUGACAUAUUAAAUUCAAGUCAUCUAUGCAACAAAUAUACAUUUAAAUUCUAAUAUGUUAAAAACCAUAUUCUUUUUUAGAAAUGUGUCCCUAUUGUAGUAAAUAUGUAAUUGUUUUAAGUUAAUUUAAUAGAAUAUGUUGAAAUUUUUUUUGAGAAAGUAUGUCGUUUUUCUAAAAAUUUAUCGAUCUAUGUUGAUUUUGGAGAGAGAAAGGAAAAUGUGUCCUACAGGACACGUUUUCACUGCCACAUUAGUGAAAAUACGCCCUACAGAACGCGUUUUCCCUUCAAUGGUAACUUUUCCAACGACUACAAGGGCUCCAACAACCAUAAAAUUUCCUAUAUAAACCCCUUUAAACUUCAUUAUUUUCAACCAAAUACUCAAUACUCAUUCUUCCAUCCUAUAUUCUCAAUCCUCAAUUUUCAAUUUUCAAUUUUUUUUUUGAAUUUUAUUUUGUUCGAUUUUAUUUUGUUCAUUAUGAUUUUUAAAUGGCAAACCAACUCAUUUGUUUGGAUGAAAAGCAUAUCUCCGGUGUUCAAUUAGAAAUGGUAAGAAAAUUUAUUAAAUUAUUUAAUUUUAAAUAGUUAAUUAUUAUGUUGUUUAAAUUAUUAACUUUUUAUGUUUAUAUACUCAACCCGAAGAUCAAAUUUUGGAGACGUACAUGUGAAGAUGAUUAUGGCUAUCAACCCCGACAUGCACGUGAAGAUGAAGAUGAAGGAGAUGAGGAGCUGUCAACCCAAAUAGUGCAACGGAACCCUAGGUGUGCCUGACGCCCACCCAAUUGUGG